GACAAACGCUGGCGGCGUGCAUAAAACAUGCAAGUCGAACGGUCGGUUCGCCGGCCGUGGCAGACGGCUGAGUAACGCGUAGGAACCUACCCCGGUGUGGGGGACAAGCCAUCGAAAGGUGGUCUAAUACCGCAUACGGUCCCGGCGCGAGUCGGGAAGAAAGCCGCAAGGUGCACUGGGAGGGGCCUGCGUCCGAUUAGCUGGUUGGUGGGGUACCGGCCUACCAAGGCGACGAUCGGUAGCUGGUCUGAGAGGAUGACCAGCCAGACUGGGACUGGGACACGGCCCAGACUCCUACGGGAGGCAGCAGUUAGGAAUUUUGGGCAAUGGCCGCAAGGCUGACCCAGCAACGCCGCGUGGGGACGAGGGCUCUCGGGUUGUAAACCCCUUUUCCCAGGACGAUGAUGACGGUACCUGGGGAAGAAGCCCCGGCUAACUACGUGCCAGCCGCCGCCGUAAG
rnacentral:rRNA from 1 species